GACGAACGCUGGCGGCGUGCUUAACACAUGCAAGUCGAGCGGAAAGGCCCUUCGGGGUACUCGAGCGGCGAACGGGUGAGUAACACGUGAGCAACCUGCCCUUGGCUUUGGGAUAACCCUCGGAAACGGGGGCUAAUACCGGAUAUCCACUUCUCGUCGCAUGGUGGUUGGUGGAAAGUUUUUCGGCCAGGGAUGGGCUCGCGGCCUAUCAGCUUGUUGGUGGGGUGAUGGCCUACCAAGGCGACGACGGGUAGCCGGCCUGAGAGGGCGACCGGCCACACUGGGACUGAGACACGGCCCAGACUCCUACGGGAGGCAGCAGUGGGGAAUAUUGCACAAUGGGCGGAAGCCUGAUGCAGCGACGCCGCGUGAGGGAUGACGGCCUUCGGGUUGUAAACCUCUUUCAGCAGGGACGAAGCGAAAGUGACGGUACCUGCAGAAGAAGCGCCGGCCAACUACGUGCCAGCAGCCGCAGUAAAAC
rnacentral:rRNA from 1 species